CACAUUUUGGUUAUAGCUAGCGACGCAGAGCCUUGGCACCAUGACCGGAAGUACUGUAACGUUAGCCAACCAGCGCUAUUAAAUGAAUAGACAGCAGCCUUUUUACAAUAUGGUCAAUUUUGCGGCUGUGGUAACUAGUGGAAAUCAUGGUGCGUAUUUCGAGUAGUUUGCUAGCUUUGUUAUUUACAAUUAUUCGAACCCAGUGCCAUAUAGCAUAUUACUAUACAAAAAACGUAACAUAUUGAGAGGUCAACGACAAUGUUGCAGUUAGCUAUCUAGCACUUGCUCUUGACACAUUCAGAGGGAUGAAUGAGAGCUUUGGGUUUGAGGACAUUCUUAAUGCCCAAUGUGAAUUGAUGGGAGAGCCACAUCUCAUGAUGCAGUACAAGUUGGGAUGUGAGAUUCAAAUAAAAUUUAUUUUCAAUCAAAUUUAGUUACCAAGCCCUUUUUACAUCAACAGAUGUCACCAAGUGCUAUACAGAAACCCAGCCUAAAACCCCAAACAGAAAGCAAUGCAGAAGCACGGUGGCUAGGAAAAACCCCUUAGAAAGGCAGGAACCUAGGAAGAAACCUAAAGAGGAGCCAGGCUCUGAGGGGUGGCCA